CCUCUACACAGGAGUUAAAUCCUACGGUGUUUCUCUUCUCAUCUGACAUCUUUCAUUUAGCUCAAACCUGUCAAGGUCCAGUCCUAUGGUUGCAAACGGCAAAAUUUCAUCACUUUUAAAGUAGCUGAGUAGUAUUCCCUUGGGGUGGAGAGAGAGAGAGAAGGAAUAAGCCUUGCAUAUUUUCAGCAGGAAGGAAUUGAUGGAGGAAGCAAGAAUCAAACUGCAUUUCAUAUUUUAGGCUCUACUUCUUUAGGAACCUGAGGACCACCCCUAUGGGGCCACCAGCUGCCACCCAACAGCAUGGCUUUGAGGGAUGAACUCCCUGAGUCUGCUCCCAAGGGACGUCCCUGCUGGCAUCUGGACAGCAAUCGGUUAACAGCACGUGCCACCUUCCCGCCCUCACAAACUUCUUUGUGACACGUCAGGCUAUAAUUCUCCCUAAUAAAAUAAUG